UGACCAGCUGAUCUGCUCUUUGCUCGCUCGCUUGCUUGCUGGCCGAUUGGUGAGCUGGCUCGCUUGUUCGUCUGCAGCGUUGGGGGGACUGUGCAGUCGUGGCCAUGAGCAGGCACUGUCGCGUCAAGCCGACAAGGUGGUGGUGUCGCCUGUAAGCCAUGUCUGUGGUGUAGUCGUCGCAGGUGUGGGCGGGUGUUGGGCAGUGCCCUGCACGCGCUGUGGGGCCUGUCGGCUCGUCCACAUGCCUUUGGAUGCCCUUGAUUGGGUGUCUGCGGGCGGAUGGCACGUUUACUUUGAACAAAUUUGAGUGCUCAAGUCAGGCCGAUGUUGCCUGCAAAGUUUUGCAUGGAAUAAUGGAAGAGGACUUCGGUUCUAUUUCGUUGGUUUCCGGAUCCGAAGCAAUGAUCGAGAGAGACAGGCGGGGGCGUUUGUAUGGCUGCGCUAGAGAAUGAAAUUCAUGGAUCGUAGCCAGACAAACUAAAGCGAAGGCCUUCGUCAAGCAUGUUUUCAUUGGCCAUGAGCGAAAGUCAGAAGCUCGAAGACGAUCAGAUACCGUCCUAGUUCUGGCCACAAUCGAUGCCAACUGACGCUCCGUGGUGGUAGUGAUGUUGCCUUCCCCACGGGCAGUCGCCGGGAAACCGUUAAGUGUUUGGGUUCCGGGGGAAGUAUGGUUGCAAAGCUGAAACUUAAAGGAAUUGACGGAAGGGCACCACCAGGAGUGGAGCCUGCGGCUUAAUUUGACUCAACACGGGAAAACCCACCCGGGCCGAACACUGUGAGGAUUGACAGGUUGAGAGCUCUUUCUUAAUUUGGUGGUUGGUGGUGCAUGGCCGUUCUUAGUUGGUGGAGCGAUUUGUCUGGUUAAUUCCGAUAACAAAGGAGACUCCAGCCGGGUGCGCAGCUUGCGCCCUCCUCUCCCCUCUUGCGCUUCUUCGUGAGAGUGAGGGGUGGGGGGGGGUGAGAGUGCCGGUUGACGCUCAUGAUUGGUUUGUCUGGCGUUGGCCUGCGGAUGCGGCGCGAACGCUUACUUCUUAGAGAGACAAGCAGGAGAAGCCGCAGGAGAUAGAGCAAUAACGGGUCUGUGAUGCCCUUAGAUGUCCGAGGCCGCACGCGCGCUACAAUGACGGUGUCAACGAGUGAGACCUUGUGGCCCGAGAGGGUUGGGCAAGAUGGUCCCUCACCGUCGUAACAGGGAUCGGGACUUGGGAUUGCGCUGAUUACGUCCCUGCCCUUUGUACACACCGCCCAUCGCUACUACCGAUUGAAUGGUUCAGCAAGAUCCUUGGAUCGGCGUCAUUGCGGCAGUUGCCGGAAGGUCAUUGUCCUGCAGUCGCUGAGAAGACGACCAAACUUGAUCAUUUAGAGGAAGUAAAAGUCGUAACAAGGUUUCCGUAGGUGAACCUGCGGAAG
rnacentral:rRNA from 1 species